rnacentral:rRNA from 1 species
CCUACGGGUGGCAGCAGUAGGGAAUAUUGCUCAAUGGGGGAAACCCUGAAGCAGCAACGCCGCGUGGAGGAUGAAGGGUUUCGGAUUGUACACCCCUUUUGGUAGAGAAGAUAAUGACGGUACCUAACGAAUAAGCACCGGCUAACUCCGUGCCAGCAGCCGCGGUAAUACGGAGGGUGCAAGCGUUACGCGGAUGCACUGGGCGUAAAGAGCGCGUAGGCGGGAUAGCAAGGCAGAUGUGAAAUCCUAUGGCUUAACCAGAGAACUGCAGUUGAAACUGUUAUUCUAGAGUAUAGGAGCGGUAGGUGGAAUGCAUGGUGUAGGGGUGAAAUGCGUAGAGAUCAGGAGGAAUACUGAUUGCGAAGGCGACCUGCUAGAACAUAACUGACGUUGAGGCGCGAAAGCGUGGGGAGCAAACAGGAUUAGAUACCCCUGUAGUC